AGGUUAUUUCCUUGAAAGAUUUUCGACAUAGAACAUGAUGCUGCUUCACAUCCUCUUUUAAAGACUCAAGAAUUACAAGACCAAAUUAAGCUGCAGGACCCUCCUGAUUCAAAAAGACAUGGAACAUGACUCUGCUUCACAUCCUUUGUUUUAGAGACUCAAGAAAUACAAGACCAAAUUAAGGGUUUGUUUUUUUAAUUCCAAUAACAAUUUUCUGGUGAAAGAAUUAGGGAAUAAUGCAUUGACAAUAUGCCAAACAUCCUAUAUCAAACUGAAUUACUGCAUGUAUUUACAAUAGAGUAUUGUAACCGCUUCCCCCUCACCACUGACCAAACAAAACCCACAAACAAUUUUAGAGGGAUAGGGUUAUUUUAGGGGUAAUUAUCCUUGCUGAUUGUAGCAGUAGUUUUUACAAAUAUGGAUGUACAGUUAAUGAUGAUGUUUAUGAUAAUAAUACUUAGAAUAAUAAAUUCAUUACGAUGACAUAACAGUAAUGAUGAAUAAAUAUGAUAAUUCAGCACUAUAAUAUGUACAUGAAAUUGUGUAACAAUUUUGGCAAUGAAGAAUUUUUAACAAAAAUAAUGAUCAAUGAAUUCGGGGGGGGGGGGCAUGUGACAUUGCAUCUGUGUUUGUGAGGACAGUAGUCUCUUUCACACCAUUUCAUCUUAAGCAGAUGGGAACGAGCUCUGAUCAAAAUUUGAUCUUUAAACUCAAGAGGAAAAUAAUUGUUACCUGAUUUAUGUAUUUGGAAUAAAAUGAAUUGAAAUAAUAA